CUUCAUCUUACGAUAAAAAUCAGUUUCUUCAAUGUCAUAAUCUCAAAAUGGUUCUAACACUGUCAGCCUUAAGGUCAUCUUGCAGGAACACUAACGAUAUUCCUACUACAGAUAAUCAAUUUGAAAUGAUUUAUACUUUAUACGCCUUCUAUUCUAUGCAUACACAUUUUUUUUUUCUACUUUACGAAACUUUCAUUUUCUUCUAUGUACAGACAAUAUUUCAAGUUUGGACCAAGUUUCUGCAAGCAUGCAAGUUGCAUCAACGCAAUCAUAUGAGCACCAUAUGAAGUUCAACUCAUAGCUUCUCAAGACCAUCCAAUCCAUGUUAUAGUUCAGUGCAACCUCUCUUCCAAUAAGAUGUCCACUUCCUUUCUCCUCUCCCUAGUUUUCUUCUCUGUAGUCAUGAUCUUAUUUGCCACCUCCAUAUCUUCUAAAAAUGUGCAAACAUCAGAAGCAACCGAGCGGUGAUAACAUAAUAGUCAAGCUUAAAAUGAGUGAAAGACUCUGUUGUUCAUAAGAUGCAUUUCAUUUUUAGUAAAGAUCCCUAGUUUUCAUUCUGUAAUGUUUCGAGUAACUUGUAACAUGUUAUUUACACACAAACUCAAUAUGAAGGCAGCUGGAAAAAGAAGCAUGCAAAAAUAGUAACCCAAUUGAUGAUUGUUGGAGAGGGACACUGAAUGGGAAACUAACCGGAAAGUGCUGGCCGAUUGCUCAAUUGGGUUCAGAUACAAUGCUGUAGGGCGAUGAGAUGGUGAAUUUUAUGCCGUCACAUAUUCUGAAAAUGACGAUCCUGUAAACCCAAAUCCAGGCACACUUUGCUACAGUGUCAUCAAGAAGAACCACUAUGGAUCUUUGAUCACGACAUGGCUAUCAAGAUAAAGGAAGAACUCAUGAACUCAUACAAAACAAUUGAUGGUAGAGGGUACAACAUCCAGAUAGCAGGUGGACCGUGCAUAACUAUUCAAAACGUAACAUUAUCAUACAUAACAUCUAUGCACGUGACUGUGCGCCGGGUGAAUUCAGUGGUGAGGGAUUCACCCAAGCAUGUUGCAUGAGAGGUUACUCAGAUGGGGAUGGCACACCCAUAUAUGGGUCUAGGGAUGUGUGGAUUGAUCACUGUACACCAGCCGUGAUGGACUAACCGAUGCUGUAGUCGGCUCAACUUCUAUAACAAUUUCAAACAACUACAUGUUGCAUCCUAAUGAAGUUAUAUGCUUAUAAGUCAUAGCGAUAACUUCCUUGAUGACAAGAAUAUGCAAGUCACUACUGCCUUCAACUUUUUUGGCAGUCUGACACAAAGAAUGCCUAGGUAACUGAAUUCAGUAUCAUUCUGAUAGAACAGCAAGAGCAAUAGCAACAUUAUCAUCCUUUAAUUACUCCCUAUUUCUUGAAGUAUCCGCAGAAAGCUCUAUAAACAUAUAUCUAAACUAUUGCAGGUGCAGGCGAGGCAUUGGUAUCUUCAAAUUGUAAAUAACAUAUGCAGUGGCUAGGAGAUGUAUGCUACCAUAAAUAUCAAAGUUAACAAAUUAAUCACUUUUAGCAACCAAUAAUGAUCAAUUGCUUAACCACAACUAUUCCUGGGAAAGCUGACCUUAUGCAACAUAAUUAGGGAUUAGGACAGUCCAUCCACGCAUAAGGUGGAGAACAAAAAUAGAAUGCAUACAAUUGGUUGGUCUAACCAUUUUCACAUGUGAAUAACUAAUAAGCUAAAAAAAUUUUCAACGUAUUGGGCUGGGUCCAACUAGGAUACGCACAAACUUUGACCAGCACUUGGUCAGACUGAUCCCUUGAUUACUGAGCAGAUACAGUCAGCGUCCUUGAGUUACUAAAGAUUUAACCAUCCCAGGAGAUGGGAAGUGGGAAAAUUGGAAUUGGAAAUCAGAUGGAGAUGUAAUGCUCAAUAGUACUUUCUUUACCCCUUCAUGUGAAACAGGUCCCGAAAACUACAUAGAAGCAUCAAGCUUGGUAGCAAGACCAGCUUCAAUUUUGACAAAUACCUCUCCUGCUGCUGGAGCUCUUGUCUCUGCCGGAGGAUGAUAGCAGUUAGCAAUUAUUUGCUUUAGUCCUUU
rnacentral:misc_RNA from 1 species